rnacentral:rRNA from 1 species
CCUGGUGGCUAUGGCGAGGGGUAAAACACCCGAUCCCAUCCCGAACUCGGCCGUUAAAUUCCUUUGCGCCAAUGGUACUUUGUCUUAAGGCACGGGAGAGUAGGUCGUUGCCUGCU